AUGCCCACUCGCUGUCCUAAGGGACCUUAAUGAGCUCGCACUCCUUGCAGUGAAACUCUCCUGGUUUCCCUGCUUCCUUUCUGAAUCCUCCCAGUCCCUGGCAACCACAUUCUCCUUUCUGUCUAUGUGAAUUGGACUACUCCGGGGGCCACUGAUGACUGGAGUCACACUGUGUUGUCUCUUUGUGACUGGAAUCCUGUCCCUUUAACAUCCUUAGAUCUGUUCCUCUUCUCCCUUCUCACGGCACUGCCUCUUAUGAUCUCAGAAGCUCUAAGGAAGCAGCGCUGUCCCUGCCUGGCAGAGGAGACUAGGACUUCCCACAUCUCUCUGUGUCCCCAGGCUGAGCCGGGCAAGAUCACAUCUGACAUCUGCACAUCUCAGCGCCCAGGCCCUGCCUAACUCAGAGUGAAGUGUCUUCCAAUCCAUUGAAAUUUCUAGUCCCGGGGUCUAGAGGACACUAGGGCCACUUUGCAAUGGCAGAAGGAGCAUUGCACAGGCCUGGUUACAAGUCCUGACUUUAGUUGAGGACCUGCCAUAUGACCUUGAGCAAAUUGCUGUACUUCUCUGGAUCUCAGUUUCUACAACCUAAUUCACUGGGCCCAGCCUGAAGCCUGCAAGCACUGGAUGAGUGGACGUGGCUGAGCAGCCAUGAGAAAGAUGUGGGGCUCUC
rnacentral:antisense_RNA from 1 species